rnacentral:rRNA from 1 species
GUUUUUCGCUUGAGGAUGAGCCCAUGUGGGAUUAGCUAGUUGGUGAGGUAAUGGCUCACCAAGGCGACGAUCCCUAACUGGUCUUAGAGGAUGAUCAGUCACACUGGAACUGAGACACGGUCCAGACUCCUACGGGAGGCAGCAGUAGGGAAUAUUGCGCAAUGGGGGAAACCCUGACGCAGCGACGCCGCGUGAGUGAUGAAGGCCUUCGGGUCGUAAAGCUCUGUCGUAUGGGACUAACACAAUG